UACGGAGGUGGCGAGCGGUGUUCGGAAUUACUGGGAGUAAAGCGCACGUAGGCGGAUGUUCAAGGCGGGGGUGAAAUCCCGGGGCUCAACCCCGGAAUGGCCUCCGAUACUGGAUGUCUUGGGGUCUGGAGAGGUGGGUGGAAUUCCGAGUGUAGAGGUGAAAUUCGUAGAUAUUCGGAGGAACACCAGUGGCGAAGGCGGCCCACUGGCCAGAUACUGACGCUGAGGUGCGAAAGCGUGGGGAGCAACCAGG
rnacentral:rRNA from 1 species